GUUGCGUCCAUUGCCAUUGGCAGCCGUAAGCACGUUACUUCUCGUGCGUUGACUCACUGGCAGCGGUGUGCGCUGUGAUUAACUUGCUAGCAAAAUUGAAUGGUGAAAUAAGGAGCCUCAACGCGGAGCAAGGCCGCAGCAACCAUGGAGGAUCUCUAGAGCUCGGCUGUCAUCAUAAGCUGGCCUCGUUAAAGGAGCACUGGAGACACCCCGAACACAUUUCUUUUAUUUUUUUACCGAGUGAUGCGGGCAUACUACUUGCAGAAGCUGUCACGCACACAAAGGGACAGAAAACACAACUGAGGACCUCUUCGACUGUGGAAACUAUCCAAGCUCCAAGCCCAAGUCUUCUCAAUCAGCACAUCGUGAUGAUGAUGAUGAUGGCCCAAUAUUGGACCAGUGCUGCUAAUUUCAUCUUGGCACAACAUUGGAACAUAAUUGACAAGUUCCAGCCAAUAUUGGGUCAAGGUGCGUUGUACUGCUUGGGUUCUGACCCCAAGAAUUUUGCUUGACCUCCGCGCGCCCUCUCAAAAGCAAAGCGUGAUAUGCAUUGUCUUAUCUCGUGGGCAACUUGGCAAGCGUCACACCGACAUCUCUUCUACCUUGCAACGUCACAAUGCCGCUACCUUUCCCUUCUUUUGUGAGCAGUGCUGUCGACAACGUGGAACAA